rfam:Glycine soja cultivar W05 scaffold2990_12, whole genome shotgun sequence.
GCUAUCUUAGCUCAGCUGGUAGAGCACAUGGUUUUUAACCAUGUGGUCGUGGGUUCAAUUUCCAGACAGCG